AAGGGCUUAGCUUAAUUAAAGUGGUUGAUUUGCAUUCAAUUGAUGCAGAAUCGACUCUUGCAGUCCUCU
rnacentral:tRNA from 1 species